GAUGAACGCUGGCGGCAGGCCUAAUACAUGCAAGUCGUGGGGCAGCAUGAAUGUAGCAAUACAUUUGAUGGCGACCGGCAAACGGGUGCGGAACACGUACACAACCUUCCUAUAAGUGGGGAAUAGCCCAGAGAAAUUUGGAUUAAUACCCCGUAACAUAAUGAUGUGGCAUCACAUUAUUAUUAUAGCUACGGCGCUUAUUGAUGGGUGUGCGGCUGAUUAGAUAGUUGGCGGGGUAACGGCCCACCAAGUCUACGAUCAGUAGCUGAUGUGAGAGCAUGAUCAGCCACACGGGCACUGAGACACGGGCCCGACUCCUACGGGAGGCAGCAGUAAGGAAUAUUGGUCAAUGGACGCAAGUCUGAACCAGCCAUGCCGCGUGAAGGAUUAAGGUCCUCUGGAUUGUAAACUACUUUUAUCUGGGACGAAAAAAGGCGAUUCUUCGUCACUUGACGGUACCAGAUGAAUAAGCACCGGCUAACUCCGUGCCAGCAGCCGCGGUAACAC
rnacentral:rRNA from 1 species